GACGAACGCUGGCGGCGUGCCUAAUACAUGCAAGUUGAGCGCUGAAGGUUGGUACUUGUACCAACUGGAUGAGCAGCGAACGGGUGAGUAACGCGUGGGGAAUCUGCCUUUGAGCGGGGGACAACAUUUGGAAACGAAUGCUAAUACCGCAUAAAAACUUUAAACACAAGUUUUAAGUUUGAAAGAUGCAAUUGCAUCACUCAAAGAUGAUCCCGCGUUGUAUUAGCUAGUUGGUGAGGUAAAGGCUCACCAAGGCGAUGAUACAUAGCCGACCUGAGAGGGUGAUCGGCCACAUUGGGACUGGGACACGGCCCAAACUCCUACGGGAGGCAGCAGUAGGGAAUCUUCGGAAAUGGACGAAAGUCUGACCGAGCAACGCCGCGUGAGUGAAGAAGGUUUUCGGAUCGUAAAACUCUGUUGGUAGAGAAGAACGUUGGUGAGAGUGGAAAGCUCAUCAAGUGACGGUAACUACCCAGAAAGGGACGGCUAACUACGUG
rnacentral:rRNA from 1 species